CAGUCGCCGCGGUAAUACGUAGGGUGCAAGCGUUAAUCGGAAUUACUGGGCGUAAAGCGUGCGCAGGCGGUUCGUUAAGACAGAUGUGAAAUCCCCGGGCUUAACCUGGGAACUGCAUUUGUGACUGGCGGGCUAAAGUAUGGCAGAGGGGGGUAGAAUUCCACGUGUAGCAGUGAAAUGCGUAGAGAUGUGGAGGAAUACCGAUGGCGAAGGCAGCCCCCUGGGCCAAUACUGACGCUCAUGCACGAAAGCGUGGGGAGCAAACAGGAUUAGAUACCCCCGUAGUCCCUGUCUCUUAUAC
rnacentral:rRNA from 1 species